GGAAGGUCCGGGCGUUAUCCGGAUUUAUUGGGUUUAAAGGGAGCGUAGGCCGGUCUUUAAGCGUGCCGUGAAAUUUUGUGGCUCAACCAUGAGAGUGCGGCGCGAACUGGAGACCUUGAGUGCGCGGAAGGCAGGCGGAAUUCGUGGUGUAGCGGUGAAAUGCUUAGAUAUCACGAAGAACCCCGAUUGCGAAGGCAGCCUGCCGCAGCGUUACUGACGCUGAAGCUCGAAAGCGCGGGUAUCGAAC
rnacentral:rRNA from 1 species